CCACCCCACCCCAACCACCACAACCGCAACGACUACCACCCCAACCGCCGCCGCGACAGCCACCCCCGUGCCCGCCACCGCCCCAACGACACCUACGCCCACUACAAACGCCCUAACCACCGCUCCCCCUACCGCCCUCAUCACGUCAAGAACAACAACAGCAGCGCUUGCAACAAUAAUGACAACCUGGCCAACUCUUUUAACUACAACAGCACCAGCGAAAACGACCUGUGCAAUAGCCAGCACUACCACAACAACGCAACCUACUACCACGUCACCCUCGACAACCACGAUCACAACUCUUAGCACUCCAUCACCCGGCGCUACCAUGGCAACAACCCCACCAACACCGAGGCACACCCCGGUAGUCUUCUUCACUUGCCCCAUGGAGCCCGGACACCAACCCCCACCGCUCCGCCACUAUCAGCCGAGCUGCCGGCGCAGGAGCAAGGUGGAGCAGUGCAAGGCCAGGUUCACCCUGUACACCACCCUGCUGGUGCUGGAGGUCAUCUGCACGCUGGUGCUGGGAAAGUUAGUUUGGUCUCUGUACAGUCUGCUGCAGGAGAGGGAGGGGACGGACGACAGGGUCGACCUCACCCGCUUCUCCUACCGGAAGGAAUUCGUCCGGAGGCCACUCCCCGAGGCAGAGACCGUCAGGCUUUGAGGUGUCUGGGGUUUGCGUGCGCGCUUUGCUUCGUCGGCUUCCGACGUUUUUUCUCAACGUAAAACAAUCUUCGCUCGAAAAUCCUGUGUACGAAAUGAUAUCAGUUUUUUUUUUUUUUUUGGUAUUUGCUUGUGGAUUAUUUAUUGUGGAUUACUGGAAGUUGAAGUAGGGUAGCAUUGUUUUAUUAUUAUGAUGCCAGGAAUAGGUAAUUUCCCUGUUUGCCAGAAGAGGGAACCAGACAUACAUGAAGCAGAAAGCAAGGUGGAUAAUUAACUGAUGUGAAAUGUAAAACAAAAGCUUUUCUCUGUAAAUUAUAGUUAUUAACUAUGCACAUUGUUGAUUGUAUAUAAGUGUGUAUACUCCAAAUCGACCUGGUUCAGAGCUGCCAGCCUGAUGGACAUGCUUGCUUGGGAAAGACAGACUGUCAGACAAACAGUGUGUGGUACGUGCACCUAACCUACGCUUAACCAUCUGUGUGUAGAGGGACGACGUUCAUACUUUCUCUUAAUCCCCUGUUUCUGGCUCACUGUUCUGAGUGGCAGGAGUCCAGUCUAGAUUGAUGCCAGUUUUGUGGAUUAAAGUGACAACGUGUUCGACAUGUAUUAUUAUUACAAAAGUAUCUAGAUUUAUCUGUAGGACAUGCUGCUGGCUAGCAUGGUGACCCACAUGAUCGGGUGACUUCACAUUCUGUUUCGAUACAGGUGUCAGUUAACAAUCAGCUAACCAAUCAUGUGACCUCAUCAGUUCAGGGGAUACACAGAAUAAGAAAGAAUGGCAAAACAUUUUUCCGCUUUCCGUUGUCUAUACUAAUGUUAACGUGACCGCUUGUUUCUUUGGGAGCCGCUAUGUUUUUUGUCAUAAUCUACGACAAUCUCUGAUUGGUCCGUUUUCAUCUAUGACACAGUCCCUAAUUGACCCAGGUGACAUUGUCAUUCCUAGAAUUCGUUGUGGCCGGCUGAAAGUCCACACUGAGGUGUGGCAAAAAGGUGAGGUCACGUGAUCAGGAUGGUCUCCGGCGGCUAGCUAAGGGCCCUAUAGUCUUUUGCUUUUUUUUUUUUUUUACUCCAGGCCAGAGAUACAUGUUGUGUUUAUUUAACGUGUAGUUACUCAAGGGAGCGAGCUUUCCCUUGUGUAGAGGACUUUUAAAAGAAAUGAAAGCGUGACUUUAUGAUGACGAAAAGGUCUGAUCAAAUAUUGUGCAAUUAAAAAUGUCACAGCAAAAAUAUUGGGAGAUCAGUUUCAUAUCCACCGUAAAUACAAGGCUUAUGAAUGAAAAAAAUGUACGAAGGCCAAAACUAAAUAGAUGUUCUCAAUUAUUUUAGUAUAUUUUAGUUUGUUUUGUCAACCACAUACAACAGAUUUAGUUUUUUUUAAGCUUUUUUAUCUAUGAUGACUAUGACAAAACCAUUUUGGAAGAACUAAUACUACUACUACAGGCACCUUACACAGUACGGGUCAGUGCAGGCCACCAUAUUUGUUGGAAAGGGAAGGGGGGAGCUUCAGUUGGUUGAACAUUUUGCCAAAAGCAUUUUAGUAAAAGUAAAACUAUCUGCAACAAAACACAUAGUCUUUGACAGAACGUCAGAAAAGGUUUUUUUUAUUUCUUCUUCUGUUGAUAUUUUUUAAUUUAUGGACGUUUUUGUGUCUACGCCUAUUUUGCAUUUUAUACAUUUUUCCUUAAUCUCGUUGUAACAGUUUGGGGUUUUUCAGCUUUGAAACAAACCAGCUUGAAGGCAUUUUCAGUGUCGGAUGACACCACUGCAAUUUGAUUACAAACUUGAUUAUGAUAAUUAUGUUUAAAACACAAUCAUCAUAGCCACAAACUCAGCAUGAACUAGAGUAACUAUUCAAGUAGCCUACAUUUACUUAAUUACAUUCACUUAAAAAAAAGUACAAAAUUAGCAAAAGAGCUUAUGAUAGAGACUUCAUGUCAUGCAGUAGUACGGAUAAAAUAAAUGGUUUUCAGAGAAAUUGGGCCAAGCACUGGACCUGAAUUUUGGUUCAACUACGUUUCUUCCAACAUCAAAAAUAGGUCUUCAUUAGGGAUAUUAUAUAGGUUCAAAGAAAAGGAGGGGAGGCGUUUGUGCUUGCUUUUAAUCCAAUGAAAAAAUAAAAUACAGAAAAACUACAAAAGUCGGCCUUACUCAAAAUGGUAAAUGGACUGCAUUUAUAUCGCCCUUUUCGCAGUGGCCACUCAAAGUGCUUUGUAUUUAUUGCCUAACAUUCACCCAUUCAUACACAAAUUGACACACCGACGGAGGUGUCAACCAUGCAAGACGACAGCCAGCUUGUCUGGAGCACUUAGGGUUUGGUGUCAUGCUUAGGCACACGUUGUCACCCAGCUAGGAUGAGCCGGCAACCUUCCAGCAACCUUCCGGUUGCAAGUCAACCCACUAUCUUCUGAGCUUCUGCCGCCUAGGUUGUAUGAAAUAUAUUGUAGAUGAUCUCUCUCUCUGAAUUAAGCCUCAACAGAUCAACUAUAUCUGUAUCAUACAAUAAAAUAUAAUCUGAUUUUGUUUAAGUUAUAUGCGUUGGUGUUUCAGUGGUUCAUUUCUCGUCUGCCACAUGGGAGUUUCUUUCUGAUAAACCUGUAACAGCUGUUUGUUGAAUUUCUUUCUUUGGGACAAUAAAGAAUGCAUGAUACAAAGCUUCAAAUAGCUUAGUUAAGACCAAGCACUUGGAUGCUUGGUCAUACCUGGUGAGGUGAGGUGAUCUGCAAUCUUGAAGUUUCAUGAACAUAAAUUCCUGCAAAGUCACCGAAUGAAGUACCACAAUGGGGAUUGAUCUAGGACACACUGCUGGAACCCCUGGUAUUUGCACUAUGAUGAUUGUUACAAACUGGGUAUGUGUGAUGACCUCAUUUGGAUCUAUGGUAACCAUCUAUAGGGGAUGUGACGUGUAUUCCAAAGGUGUCCCUAACAUAAAUCUUGGAGAUUCCACUUUAAAGUGGCCAAAAGGGUAAAAAUCACGAAAGUAUAGAAAAAAGUGUCUGGUUGUUGUUGUAGCUGUAAGCCACAAUCAUCUGAAACGCAAGGAUGUAUUCGUGUGUGAACGCUCCGUUGGUUCUGUCGUGUCUGGGGUCGUUUGGCUUUGACAAGUAAGCUGACAGCCUCAGACGUCCUUCCCUGGCCCUGUGGACCCGCCCCUGCCCUACAGCCUGC
ensembl:lncRNA